rnacentral:rRNA from 1 species
AACGAACGCUGGCGGCAUGCCUAACACAUGCAAGUCGAACGAGACCUUCGGGUCUAGUGGCGCACGGGUGCGUAACGCGUGGGAACCUGCCCUUAGGUUCGGAAUAACUCCCCGAAAGGGGUGCUAAUACCGGAUAAUGUCUUCGGACCAAAGAUUUAUCGCCUUUGGAUGGGCCCGCGUUGGAUUAGCUAGUUGGUAGGGUAAAAGCCUACCAAGGCGACGAUCCAUAGCUGGUCUGAGAGGAUGAUCAGCCACACUGGGACUGAGACACGGCCCAGACUCCUACGGGAAGCAGCAGUGGGGAAUAUUGGACAGUGGGCGAAAGCCUGAUCCAGCAAUGCCGCGUGAGUGAUGAAGGCCUUAGGGUUGUAAAGCUCUUUUACCCGGGAUGAUAAUGACAGUGCCGGGAGAAUAAGCUCCGGCUAACUCCGUG